rnacentral:rRNA from 1 species
UACGAAGGGGGCUAGCGUUGCUCGGAAUUACUGGGCGUAAAGCGCACGUAGGCGGAUUGUUAAGUCGGGGGUGAAAUCCUGGAGCUCAACUCCAGAACUACCUUCGAUACUGGCGAUCUCGAGUCCGGGAGAGGUGAGUGGAACUGCGAGUGUAGAGGUGAAAUUCGUAGAUAUUCGCAAGAACACCAGUGGCGAAGGCGGCUCACUGGCCCGGUACUGACGCUGAGGUGCGAAAGCGUGGGGAGCAAACAGG